rnacentral:rRNA from 1 species
UACGUAGGGGGCAAGCGUUGUCCGGAUUUAUUGGGCGUAAAGAGCGUGUAGGCGGCCUGGUAGGUCUGCUGUGAAAACUCGAGGCUCAACCUCGAGAUGUCGGCGGAAACCAUCUGGCUAGAGUCCGGAAGAGGAGAGUGGAAUUCCUGGUGUAGCGGUGAAAUGCGCAGAUAUCAGGAAGAACACCUAUGGCGAAGGCAGCUCUCUGGGACGGUACUGACGCGAGACGCGAAAGCGUGGGGAGCGAACAGG